rnacentral:tRNA from 1 species
GCCUGGAUGGCUCAGUCGGUUGAGCGUCCGACUUCGGCUCAGGUCAUGAUCUCACAGUUCGUGGGUUCGAGCCCCACGUCGGGCU